rnacentral:rRNA from 1 species
UACGGAGGGGGCGAGCGUUGUCCGGAAUCACUGGGCGUAAAGCGCGCGCAGGCGGCGAUCUACGUCUGGGGUGAAAGCCCGGAGCUCAACUCCGGGACUGCCUUGGAUACGGGAUCGCUUGAGGAUUGGAGAGGCAAGGGGAAUUCCACGUGUAGCGGUGAAAAUGCGUAGAUAUGUGGAGGAACACCUGUGGCGAAGGCGCCUUGCUGGCCAAUUUCUGACGCUGAGGCGCGAAAGCGUGGGGAGCAAACAGGA